ensembl:snRNA U6 U6 spliceosomal RNA
GUGCUUCCCGGGGCAGUGCGUAGGCUAAAAUUGGAACGACUCAGAGAAUAUUAGCAUGGCCCUUGAGCAAGGAUGACAUGCAAAUGUGUGGAACAUUCCAUAAAUUU